CUGGGGGGGCAGCGGUUAAGACUUGUAGUGAUGUUUAGCUCAUCUCCACGUGAACAUCACUGCAAGUCUGUGCUGCUUCUCCCCUCCUC
rnacentral:pre_miRNA from 13 species